rnacentral:tRNA from 1 species
GCCUGGGUGGCACAGCGGUUGAGCAUCUGCCUUUGGCUCAGGGCGUGAUCCUGGCGUUGUGGGAUCGAGCCCCACAUCAGGCU